UACGUAGGGUGCGAGCGUUGUCCGGAAUUAUUGGGCGUAAAGAGCUCGUAGGCGGUGUGUCACGUCGGCCGUGAAAACCUGCAGCUUAACUGUGGGCGUGCGGUCGAUACGGGCAUCACUGGAGUUCGGCAGGGGAGACUGGAAUUCCUGGUGUAGCGGUGAAAUGCGCAGAUAUCAGGAGGAACACCGGUGGCGAAGGCGGGACUCUGGGCCGAUACUGACGCUGAGGGACGAAAGCUAGGGGAGCGAAUGGG
rnacentral:rRNA from 1 species